AUGUCCGGCCGCGGCAAGAGUGGCGGUAAGGCCCGGGCGAAGGCCAAGUCUCGUUCCUCCCGGGCCGGGCUGCAGUUCCCCGUCGGGCGUGUUCACCGGCUGCUGCGGCGCGGACAUUAUGCGGAGCGGGUGGGUGCUGGCGCACCCGUUUAUCUGGCGGCCGUGCUGGAGUACCUGACGGCCGAAAUCCUGGAGCUGGCAGGCAACGCGGCCCGCGACAACAAGAAGACGCGCAUCAUCCCCCGCCACCUACAGCUGGCGGUGCGCAACGACGAGGAGCUCAACAAGCUGCUGGGCGGUGUCACC
rnacentral:lncRNA from 1 species